AUUGAACGCUGGCGGCAUGCCUAACACAUGCAAGUCGAGCGGCGCGGCGGACGGGUGAGUACUGCCUAGUAAUCUGCCUGGUAGUGGGGGAUAACGUCCGGAGACGGGCGCUAAUACCGCAUACUAUCAGAUGAGCCUAGGUCGUAUUAGCUAGUUGGUGGGGUAAAGGCUUACCAAGUCGACGAUCCGUAACUGGUCUGAGAGGAUGAUCAGUCACACUGGAACUGAGACACGGCCCAGACUCCUACGGGAGGCAGCAGUGGGGAAUAUUGGACAAUGGGCGAAAGCCUGACCCAGCAACGCCGCGUGAGUGAAGAAGGUUUUCGGAUUGUAAAGCACUUUAAGUAGGGAGGCGUUACCAACAGAGUAAGCACCGGCUAACUUCGUGCCAGCAGCCGCGGUAAUAC
rnacentral:rRNA from 1 species